CGUCACACCCGCGGGGCCGCUGCCGCAGCGCACAGCUCCGCUCGCUCCGCCUGCCUCACGGCCGAGCACCCAUCGCCUCCGCCGGCUUCUCUCGGCGCCGCAGCCCGGCCGCCCCUCACGGCCAAGCCUCAGCCUCGCCGGCGCCGCCCCGGGCCCCCACAGGGCUCUCGCACCCGGCUCGUGCCGGCUCCACGGCCCGCAGCCGCCUCGGCCGCGCUCUGCCUCGCACGCAUCUCAGGACGCACGGGUCUCACACACACACGGGUCUCACACACACACGGGUCUCACACACACGGACCUCACACACACGGACCUCACACACACACGGGUCUCACACACACGGGUCUCUCACACACACGGGUCUCACACACACACGGGUCUCACACACACACGGGUCACACACACACGGGUCUCACACACACACGGGUCUCACACACACACACGGGUCUCUCACACACACGGGUCUCUCACACACGGACCUCACACACACACGGGUCUCACACACACGGGUCUCACACACACACGGGUCUCACACACACACACGGGUCUCUCACACACACGGGUCACACACACACGGGUCUCACACACACACGGGUCUCACACACACGGACCUCACACACACACGGGUCUCACACACACGGGUCUCACACACACACGGGUCUCACACACACACGGGUCUCACACACACACACGGGUCUCUCACACACACGGGUCUCUCACACACGGACCUCACAGACACAGAUCCCAGAGAUACACGAAUCCCUCCCACACUCUCGGGAUCCCACAGGCACGCGAUCUCGCACACACGGAUGUCACAGGCACACAGAUCUAUCACAUACACGCACAUCCCUCAUACAUACGAAUCUCCCUCACACACAUGGACCUCUCACACACGGAUCCCUCUCACACACGGAUGUCACAGGCACACAGAUCUCUCACACACAGAUCCCUCAUACAUACGAAUCUCUCUCACGCACACGGAUCUCUCACACACACACGGAUGUCACAGGCACACGUGUCUCUCGCAUACGCACGGAUCCCUCACACACACGGAUCUCACACUC
rnacentral:lncRNA from 1 species